CUCCGCCCCCUUGAACCAGUUCCGUGUUCCGUGCCGCUACUACAACCAUUACGUUUAUCAGCCCAAAUUCGUGAAGCCCCGCGUUUGUAUUGAAAAAAUCAAUGCGCAUCUUCAACAUGGACCCGUGAUAUGAAGAAGGCUUGUUCCCAUGAUGUCAUGACAGAAGAGGAUGCCAGGGGCCCUUCAGCCAAACAUGAGCAGUUAAGCCAUUGAAUCUUCACUUUAUUCUGGCAUCAUCUGUUUUUCCUUGGAAACUCGUGACAAUGACAUCACAGAGAAAACACCUUGUGAAGGAUUUCAACCAUUUCAUCACCUGUUAUGUCUGUAAAGGAUACCUGAUUAAGCCCACCACCGUGACAGAGUGCCUGCACACCUUUUGUAAAAGCUGUAUAGUCCAGCAUUUUGAAGACUGCAAUGACUGUCCAAAAUGUGCUAUCCAGGUUCAUGAAACAAAUCCCCUGGAGAUGUUAAGGUUGGACAACACUUUAGAAGAAAUCAUAUUCAAACUUGUGCCUGGUCUUAGAGAAAAGGAACAGCAGCAAGAAAAAGAAUUCUGGAGAAGAAACAAGUCAAAAGAAAACCUUGAAGAGGGCAGCCCUUUAUGUAAGAAAGCAAGACUAGAUGAAGAAGAGGAUGAAAAAGGUGAUGGAGACCACCACAGAAGUGAUCCUCAGAUAGCCAUCUGUCUCGACAGCUUGCGGAACAAUGGCCAGAUCGGAGAGAGCAUUGUUAAGGGGUUAAUGAAGAAAUUUAUUCGCUGCUCAACAAGAGUUACUGUUGGAACGAUCAAGAAGUUUCUAAGUCUAAAGUUAAAGCUUCCAAGUUCUUACGAGUCUCUUUCUGCAGCUAGACGUUCUAUGCAAUGGUGAGAUCAUGGGCAAGGACCACACCAUGGAGUUCAUCUACAUGACCCGUUGGAGGCUUCGGGGGGAAAACAUUUACCCAAUGGUGCUUGAAUAUCGACCACGCAUUGACUUUGGCUAGGUUGAAAAAUCCUGCAACAAUUUCAUCCCAUUGACAGACAGCGAAUCGAAUGGAUGUGUCCAGUUUGGAACAUUUACUUUUCUUUGUAAAGUUUGUACAGUUUGUCAUCUUUUUUUAAAACUUUUAUCCUAACUCUCAGCCGCAGAGACAGAUACUAUAAAUGUCUUAUGGCUCAUUGCAUAUGUAAGAAAAGUAACUUAUGUCUUUAUCAUGUUGUGUUUGACUUACCAGAGUGACAUGACAGUCAUGUUUAAGGGCCGUUACAGGAUAUGAUGGUUUCUCAGUUUUGCAAUGCUACAAGCUAUAAAACAUUAACUAAAUGCGGCAGUGCCUUUAAAACUGAUGUUUUUUAAUACAUAUAAAAAAGAUGUGCAAAGGUGCAGAGGGCAAAUCUUUACAGCUUCUCUUUGACAGGAUAAGAAUUUUAGGAUAGAAUAGGAAUGUUUUAGUCAUGCUGAGAUCUCAACAAUACUAUAAAAGCAUUAAGUGGUUCAACAUGGGUUCUGGGCUGGGUUUAAAAUUCAGCCUGUUUUUGCCCUUAGGGUUUAUUUAAGGCCAUAUCUCUGUGCUUACACAAAUGCCUUUUUUAUUUAAUUGAUUUUGGUGACUUUUCUCCGUUUGUGCCUCUUUUUAAGAAAUUAAAGUACAUAGGUGAACUCAGUUUAGCUCAUUAAUUAGAAUGUCAUUUUUCUCUUUUUCAUAUAAUAGUAUAAUGUUGAAAUUAAAUUAAGGUUUUAAUGAGUCUUGUGUGCCUGCAGCCUGUUAAAAUUAACCCUAAAUCGUGUGGUUUUAAGAAAACCAUAUAAUUGAGUGUCAAAUUAAAUGAAAUUAAAUAUUUAAUUAAAUGGAAAAAAAAUAGAAAUAUGGGAUUUGGUUGUAUACAUACAAGUGGAUUCUUAUUAGUGGCAUAUUACACCAAAGACAACCCAUCACACCAGGACAUAUGCUAAAAAUGGUUUGCCCAGCUUUACAGCUACAAUAAUCACAAAUCAGAGGCCAUUUGGUGAAAAUAAAGCUUGACUUUUUGUACAAAGAACAAAACUACCUAAUCUCUCAAACAGUGUGCAAACAAUAAUAAUCAGGGGCAUAUUUGUUAUUUUUUUGUGCAAAUGUUCCAGAAUUAUUUUACAGACUUUUCUGUAAAUUUAGAAUUUUAAAACAAUUUGACAGAAGCCUAUACAUUUAUUCUUAAGCAACCGUUAUGUUAUGCUUUUUAUUUUAAAUAUAUAUUUUGCCGAAAGCUAAUCUCGUUAGAGAUUAAAAUGUUGUUUUGUUGUGUAAUAAAACAUGUUUAGAAUAGACCUUGGAAUGUGUUUGUGCUGCAAUGAUCAACAUGUAUUUUUGUAAGAUGUCCUUGUAGAUAAAGGAAAUGUAUGUUGAAUGUGUAAUAAACAUUAAAUGCUGCUUAGAACAUUCUAUUUUUCAAUGUAAGGUGCUGAGGUAAUUUAUGUAGAUUAGAUUUGUUUAUAUAACACCUGCCAGUUACUGUAUUUGUGUGUUUUUGUUCAGAAGAAAAAUACAUUUAAUAUUGGUAAAUAA